GCGCAGAUGCUCCAGUGGUUCAGCGGUCUAAGUGUUGUUCUUCUAUGUGGAGAAUCCUGGUUCUAUCCUCUCUCUUUGCAGUGAAAAGCUUUAGUUUCACUGGUUUGGUCCAAAAGAAAAAAAAAAGGACAUGCCCCCACAAAAAUGAGGUGUAAGUGCGGAUGCUCCAGUGGUUCGGCGGUCUAAGCGUUGCUUUUCUGUGUGGAGAAUCCCGGUUCUAUCCUCUCUCUUUGCAGUAAAAAGCUUUAGUUUCACUGGUUUGGUCCAAAAGAAAAAAAAAAGGACAUGCCCCCACAAAAAUGAGGUGUAAGUGCGGAUGCUCCAGUGGUUCGGCGGUCUAAGCGUUGCUUUUCUGUGUGGAGAAUCCCGGUUCUAUCCUCUCUCUUUGCAGUGAAAAGCUUUAGUUUCACUGGUUUGGUCCAAAAGAAAAAAAAAAGGACAUGCCCCCACAAAAAUGAGGUGUAAGUGCGGACGCUCAAGUGGUUCAGCGGUCUAAGCGUUGCUCUUCUGUGUGGAGAAUCCCGGUUCUAUCCUCUCUCUUUGCAGUGAAAAGCUUUAGUUUCACUGGUUUGGUCCAAAAGAAAAAAAAAAGGACAUGCCCCCACAAAACUGAAAAGUAAGUGUGGGUUCUCCAGUGGUUCAGCGGUCUAAGUGUUGUUCUUCUAUGUGGAGAAUCCUGGUUCUAUCCUCUCUCUUUGCAGUGAAAAGCUUUAGUUUCACUGGUUUUGUUCAAAAGAAAAAAAAAAGGACAUGCCCCCACAAAACUGAAAAGUAAGUGUGGGUUCUCCAGUGGUUCAGCGGUCUAAGUGUUGUUCUUCUAUGUGGAGAAUCCCGGUUCUAUCCUCUCUCUUUGCAGUGAAAAGCUUUAGUUUCACUGGUUUGGUCCAAAAGAAAAAAAAAAGGACAUGCCCCCACAAAAAGGAGGUGUAAGUGCGGACGCUCAAGUGGUUCAGCGGUCUAAGCGUUGCUCUUCUGUGUGGAGAAUCCUGGUUCUAUCCUCUCUCUUUGCAGUGAAAAGCUUUAGUUUCACUGGUUUUGUUCAAAAGAAAAAAAAAAGGACAUGCCCCCACAAAAAUGAGGUGUAAGUGCGGACGCUCAAGUAGUUCGGCGGUCUAAGCGUUGCUCUUCUGUGUGGAGAAUCCUGGUUCUAUCCUCUGUCUUUGCAGUGAAAAGCUUUAGUUUCACUGGUUUGGUCCAAAAGAAAAAAAAAAGGACAUGCCCCCACAAAAAUGAAGUGUAAGUGCGGACGCUCAAGUGGUUCAGCGGUCUAAGCGUUGCUCUUCUGUGUGGAGAAUCCCGGUUCUAUCCUCUCUCUUUGCAGUGAAAAGCUGUAGUUUCACUGGUUUGGUCCAAAAGAAAAAAAAAAGGACAUGCCCCCACAAAACUGAAAAGGAAGUGUGGGUUCUCCAGUGGUUCAGCGGUCUAAGUGUUGUUCUUCUAUGUGGAGAAUCCUGGUUCUAUCCUCUCUCUUUGCAGUGAAAAGGUUUAGUUUAACUGGGUUUGUCCAAAAAAAAAAGAUAUGCCCCCAAAAAAAAGAGCUACAAGUGCGGAUGCUCCAGUGGUUCGGCGAUCUGAGUGUUGCUCUUCUGUGUGGAGAAUCCCGGUUCUAUCCUCUCUCUUUGCAGUGAAAAGCUUUAGUUUCACUGGUUUGGUCCAAAAGAAAAAAAAAAGGACAUGCCCCCACAAAAAUGAGGUGUAAGUGCGGAUGCUCCAGUGGUUCGGCGGUCUAAGCGUUGCUUUUCUGUGUGGAGAAUCCCGGUUCUAUCCUCUCUCUUUGCAGUGAAAAGCUUUAGUUUCACUGGUUUGGUCCAAAAGAAAAAAAAAAGGACAUGCCCCCACAAAAAUGAGGUGUAAGUGCGGACGCUCAAGUGGUUCAGCGGUCUAAGCGUUGCUCUUCUGUGUGGAGAAUCCCGGUUCUAUCCUCUCUCUUUGCAGUGAAAAGCUUUAGUUUCACUGGUUUGGUCCAAAAGAAAAAAAAAAGGACAUGCCCCCACAAAACUGAAAAGUAAGUGUGGGUUCUCCAGUGGUUCAGCGGUCUAAGUGUUGUUCUUCUAUGUGGAGAAUCCUGGUUCUAUCCUCUCUCUUUGCAGUGAAAAGCUUUAGUUUCACUGGUUUUGUCCAAAAAAAAGAUAUGCCCCCAAAAAAAAGAGCUACAAGUGCGGAUGCUCCAGUGGUUCGGCGAUCUGAGUGUUGCUCUUCUGUGUGGAGAAUCCUGGUUCUAUCCUCUCUCUUUGCAGUGAAAAGCUUUAGUUUCACUGGUUUGGUCCAAAAGAAAAAAAAAAGGACAUGCCCCCACAAAAAUGAGGUGUAAGUGCGGACGCUCAAGUGGUUCGGCGGUCUAAGCGUUGCUUUUCUGUGUGAAGAAUCCUGGUUCUAUCCUCUCUCUUUGCAGUGAAAAGCUUUAGUUUCACUGGUUUUGUUCAAAAGAAAAAAAAAAGACAUGCCCCCACAAAACUGAAAAGUAAGUGUGGGUUCUCCAGUGGUUCAGCGGUCUAAGUGUUGUUCUUCUAUGUGGAGAAUCCCGGUUCUAUCCUCUCUCUUUGCAGUGAAAAGCUUUAGUUUCACUGGUUUUGUUCAAAAGAAAAAAAAAAGGACAUGCCCCCACAAAACUGAAACGUAAGUGUGGGUUCUCCAGUGGUUCAGCGGUCUAAGUGUUGUUCUUCUAUGUGGAGAAUCCUGGUUCUAUCCUCUCUCUUUGCAGUGAAAAGCUUUAGUUUCACUGGUUCUGUUCAAAAGAAAAAAAAAAGGACAUGCCCCCACAAAACUGAAACGUAAGUGUGGGUUCUCCAGUGGUUCAGCGGUCUAAGUGUUGUUCUUCUAUGUGGAGAAUCCUGGUUCUAUCCUCUCUCUUUGCAGUGAAAAGCUUUAGUUUCACUGGUUUGGUCCAAAAGAAAAAAAAAAGGACAUGCCCCCACAAAAAUGAGGUGUAAGUGCGGAUGCUCCAGUGGUUCAGCGGUCUAAGUGUUGCUCUUCUAUGUGGAGUAUCCUGGUUCUAUCCUCUCUCUUUGCAGUGAAAAGCUUUAGUUUCACUGGUUUGGUCCAAAAGAAAAAAAAAAGGACAUGCCCCCACAAAACUGAAAAGUAAGUGUGGGUUCUCCAGUGGUUCAGCGGUCUAAGUGUUGUUCUUCUAUGUGGAGAAUCCUGGUUCUAUCCUCUCUCUUUGCAGUGAAAAGCUUUAGUUUAACUGGGUUUGUCCAAAAAAAAAAGAUAUGCCCCCAAAAAAAAGAGCUACAAGCGUAGAUGCUCCAGUGGUUCAGCGAUCUGAGUGUUGCUCUUCUAUGUGGAGAAUCCUGGUUCGAUCCUCUCUCUUUGCAGUGAAAAGCUUUAGUUUAACUGGGUUUGUCCAAAAAAAAGGAUAUGCCCCCAAAAAAAAGAAGUGGAAGUGUGGGUGUGCAAGGUAGCUCAGUGGUUAUGAGCAUGAUCUCCCUGUCGGGAGGUUCCCGGUUCAAAACCGGCCUGGACACUGAAGCGUGGUUGCAUUGUGGAAUGGUCACCUGAUCAGGAUCUGUGACAGGCUGUGGCAGGAGCGAUCAGGUCCUGACAGGAGGACGAGAGAAGGUCGGAAACGAAGGGGGGAGGUAAUAUCCAGCUGCCUCCCCCUGGGGAUUUCUGGGACGAUAACCAGCAGCGGUUAUCUAUUACACCAAGAUGUCGACUUAUAUAAAAAAAUAUCCAGCCCGGAGACUAAGUCGUUAUUUUUAUACCACUUUUGCUUGGAUAAUCCUCUGCUCAGCCAUGGUCUUCAAUCCUCCACCCAGACUCGGUCCACUCUCCAGCUCAUCCACAACCUCCUUCAGUGACCA